rnacentral:lncRNA from 1 species
CGAAACAACUGAGCCACCCAAGCACCCCAGGGUCAGGAACUUUUAAGUAUUAUCUCAUAUUUCCAACAUGAUCCUAUACAAAAAAAAAAUGGAUGUUAUCAUGCUCAUUUUAAAGCUAUAGUGGAAAAGGAAAAAGAGUGGGAGAAGAUUCCAGAGGACUGCAGAGAAUCUGGGACUGCACUGAGGAAGGCUUCUGGAGCUAACCCCACCCUGUCAGGCAAAUGAGUACCACUAACAAGCCAUGUGAUGAAAGUGAAUCCUAUAUUGUCACUGCUACUAUUCCAGCCAACAUAUCCAAAGAAUCUCGGGUUGCCAUAAUUAACACAGAGGAUCGCCUCGGACCCUACGUACCUAGACCUAGGAUCAUGAAAGUCAGCGAAUGCUGGCAGUGACAGCCUGAACUGUUACUGCCACUUCACAUCCUCUUUCUGAGAAACGUUGUAGUUCCCCCCACAACAAUAAAAACUGUACUUCCUUGACCUUUGAGUUCA